CGUAACAAAGGGAAGCGAACCCGUGAGGGGGAGGCAAAUCCCAAAAAUAAACGUCCCAGUUCGGACUGUAGUCUGCAACCCGACUACACGAAGCUGGAAUCGCUAGUAAUCGCGAAUCAGAAUGUCGCGGUGAAUACGUUCCCGGGUCUUGUACACACCGCCCGUCACACCAUGGGAGUCGGGAAUGCCCGAAGUCAGUGACCCAACCUAUAGGAGGGAGCUGCCGAAGGCAGGUCUGAUAACUGGGGUGAAGUCGUAACAAGGUAUC
rnacentral:rRNA from 1 species